rnacentral:rRNA from 1 species
AUUGAACGCUGGCGGCAGGCCUAACACAUGCAAGUCGAGCGAGCGGCGGACGGGUGAGUAAUGUAUGGGGACUGCCCGAUAGAGGGGGAUAACUACUGGAAACGGUGGCUAAUACCGCAUACCAUCGGUUAACCCAUAUGGGAUUAGCUGGUGGGUGGGGUAAAGGCUAACCUAGGCGACGAUCCCUCUCUGGUCUGAGAGGAUGAUCGGCAAAAUUGGGACGGAGACACGGCCAAACCUCCUCCGGAGGAAGCAGUGGGAAGUAUUGCACAAGGGGCGAAAUCCUGAUGCAGCCAGGCCGGGUGUAUGAAGAGGGCCUUAGGGUUGUAAAGUACUUUCAGCGGGGAGGCGUUACCCGCAGAAGAAGCACCGGCUAACUCCGUGCCAGCAGCCGCGGUAAUUC